rnacentral:rRNA from 1 species
CACUCACCGCCCGUCACAUCACCCGAGUCUGGUGCUCCCGAAGUCGCUGGCCGAACCCGCAAGGGACGGAGGCGCCGAAGGAGUGCCCGGUGAGGGGGUG